CUUCUCAUUAUUAAAGAUGGUACCGGGAUUUUUAUUUUUCUCUCUGAUAAAACUAUUAACCAGGGAGCUUCUUAAAUUUCUAACACCUCUGUGGACAAACUUAGGUUUAUUUGAUAAAAAGGAUUUUAAAAGUGGAUCUUGUAAUAAAAUUGGCCAGUAUUUUGUUAUAAUUCUACGUACUUGAUGAUUCUUGGUGUUAAAAUUACAGAUAAAAGGGAC